rnacentral:lncRNA from 1 species
GACUGGUUGCCAUGGAAGCCUGGAUAGAGGCCGCUUACGGUAGAAGCUCGGAUGGAGAUCGGUUGCCGUGGGAGCCCAGAUGGAGGCCGCUUACGGUAGAAGCUCGGAUGGAGAAUGGAAGGUGGUCAACCACCGUAAAAGCUUGAAUAGAGUCUAGUUGCUGUAGAAAUCCUGCUGCUGGAGAGGCACGGAUCUUGACGAAGUCAGGAAGAAGCCCAAAGCAGAGUCGAUCGCGAUAGGAGGAAGUCUGGAAAUGGUUUGGACAACAGUCAAUCGCUGUGAAAGGUCGACUGAUAGUGGAGUCCAGAGAGCAUUUGGAGCAGUCCGAUAGAUGAUUGGAGGAUCUUAUCAUUGGAGAAGUCCAGAGGGUACGGUAAGAGCUCGUCCGUCAGAGGAGUUCGGUUAGCACUUGUAGAAGGCAUUGUGGAAGUUCGUCCGCCAGAGGAACUUGGGAACACUAUGGAAGCCCGACUGCUGGAGAAGUCCGGAAAGAUGUCGCACA